AUUGAACGCUGGCGGCAUGCUUUACACAUGCAAGUCGAACGGUAACAGGCCUUCGGGUGCUGACGAGUGGCGAACGGGUGAGUAAUGCAUCGGAACGUACCCAGAGGUGGGGGAUAACGCAGCGCAAGCUGUGCUAAUACCGCAUGUGAUCUGAGGAUGACAGCGGGGGACCGAGCAGCAAUGUUUGGCCUCGCGCCUUUGGAGCGGCCGAUGUCGGAUUAGCUAGUUGGGGGGGUAAAGGCCUACCAAGGCGACGAUCCGUAGCUGGUCUGAGAGGACGACCAGCCACACUGGGACUGAGACACGGCCCAGACUCCUACGGGAGGCAGCAGUGGGGAAUUUUGGACAAUGGGCGCAAGCCUGAUCCAGCAAUGCCGCGUGAGGGAAGAAGGCCUUCGGGUUGUAAACCGCUUUUGGCAGGAACGAAACGGUGUCCGCUAAUACCGGGCGCUAAUGACGGUACCUGCAGAAUAAGCACCGGCUAACUACGUG
rnacentral:rRNA from 1 species